GCUUCCUACGGGAGGCAGCAGUGGGGAAUAUUGGACAAUGGGCGCAAGCCUGAUCCAGCCAUGCCGCGUGUGUGAAGAAGGCCUUCGGGUUGUAAAGCACUUUUGUUCGGGAAGAAAAGCUACCGGUUAAUACCCGGGAGUCAUGACGGUACCGAAAGAAUAAGCACCGGCUAACUUCGUGCCAGCAGCCGCGGUAAUACGAAGGGUGCAAGCGUUACUCGGAAUUACUGGGCGUAAAGCGUGUGUAGGUGGUGCGUUAAGUCUGUCGUGAAAGCCCCGGGCUCAACCUGGGAAUGGCGAUGGAUACUGGCGCGCUAGAGUGCGGUAGAGGAGAGUGGAAUUCCCGGUGUAGCAGUGAAAUGCGUAGAGAUCGGGAGGAACAUCAGUUGCGAAGGCGGCUCUCUGGACCAACACUGACACUGAGGCACGAAAGCGUGGGGAGCAAACAGGAUUAGAUACCCUGGUAGUCCACGCCCUAAACGAUGCGAACUGGACGUUGGGAGCAGCUAGGCUCUCAGUGUCGAAGCUAACGCGUUAAGUUCGCCGCCUGGGGAGUACGGUCGCAAGACUGAAACUCAAAGGAAUUGACGGAAGC
rnacentral:rRNA from 1 species